rnacentral:rRNA from 1 species
AACGCGAAGAACCUUACCUAGGCUUGACAUGCACGGAAAUCUCCCAGAGAUGGGGGGUGCCUUUGGCGUCGUGCACAGGUGGUGCAUGGUUGUCGUCAGCUCGUGUCGUGAGAUGUUGGGUUAAGUCCCGCAACGAGCGCAACCCUUAUCCCAUGUUGCCAGCGGAUUAUGCCGGGGACUCGUGGGAGACUGCCGGGGUCAACUCGGAGGAAGGUGGGGAUGACGUCAAGUCAUCAUGCCCCUUAUGUCCAGGGCUGCACACAUGCUACAAUGGCCGGUACAAAGGGCUGCUAUCCCGCGAGGGUGAGCGAAUCCCAUAAAGCCGGUCUCAGUUCGGAUUGGAGUCUGCAACUCGACUCCAUGAAGUCGGAGUCGCUAGUAAUCCCGAAUCAGCAACGUCGGGGUGAAUACGUUCCCGGGCCUUGUACACAC